UACGAAGGGGGCUAGCGUUGUUCGGAAUUACUGGGCGUAAAGGGCGCGUAGGCUGUGCUGUAAGUCAGGCGUGAAAGGCCCGGGCUCAACCUGGGAAUGGCGCUUGAUACUGCGGCGCUGGAAGGCGGGAGAGGAUGGCGGAAUUCCCAGUGUAGAGGUGAAAUGCGUAGAGAUCGGGAGGAACAUCUGUGGCGAAGGCGGCCAUCUGGACCAGCACUGACACUGAGGCACGAAAGCGUGGGGAGCAAACAGG
rnacentral:rRNA from 1 species